UCAACCAUCAAGCCCGGCUUGCCGUUGGGCCCGCCUGGAAAGACGGGCCCCAAAGACAGUGGCGGGGCGGUCGGACCCUCGGUGCAACGAGCUUGACCCCAAGCACGCGCCGACGGGUUCGGUCUCCCCUGCCCCCUUUUUACUUUUCAA
rnacentral:misc_RNA from 1 species